rnacentral:rRNA from 1 species
ACACAUGCAGUCGAGCGGAGAGGGGGCUUGCUCCUGGAUUCAGCGGCGGACGGGUGAGUAAUGCCUAGGAAUCUGCCUGGUAGUGGGGGAUAACGUCCGGAAACGGGCGCUAAUACCGCAUACGUCCUGAGGGAGAAAGUGGGGGAUCUUCGGACCUCACGCUAUCAGAUGAGCCUAGGUCGGAUUAGCUAGUUGGUGGGGUAAAGGCCUACCAAGGCGACGAUCCGUAACUGGUCUGAGAGGAUGAUCAGUCACACUGGAACUGAGACACGGUCCAGACUCCUACGGGAGGCAGCAGUGGGGAAUAUUGGACAAUGGGCGAAAGCCUGAUCCAGCCAUGCCGCGUGUGUGAAGAAGGUCUUCGGAUUGUAAAGCACUUUAAGUUGGGAGGAAGGGCAGUAAGUUAAUACCUUGCUGUUUUGACGUUACCAACAGAAUAAGCACCGGCUAACUUCGUGCCAGCAGCCGCGGUAAUACGAAGGGUGCAAGCGUUAAUCGGAAUUACUGGGCGUAAAGCGCGCGUAGGUGGUUCAGCAAGUUGGAUGUGAAAUCCCCGGGCUCAACCUGGGAACUGCAUCCAAAACUACUGAGCUAGAGUACGGUAGAGGGUGGUGGAAUUUCCUGUGUAGCGGUGAAAUGCGUAGAUAUAGGAAGGAACACCAGUGGCGAAGGCGACCACCUGGACUGAUACUGACACUGAGGUGCGAAAGCGUGGGGGAGCAAACAGGAUUAGAUACCCUGGUAGUCCACGCCGUAAACGAUGUCGACUAGCCGUUGGGGAUCCUUGAGAUCUUAGUGGCGCAGCUAACGCGAUAAGUCGACCGGCCUGGGGGAGUACGGCCGGCAUGGAUAAACCUCAAAUGAAAUUUGACGGGGGGGGUCCCCGCGGCCAA